GGAAGAAGUCCAGAUAUUCAUCGCAACAGAUUUGGGUAUGACGUGGUGAUCUGAUAUCAGUUUGGUUACAGUCUUAGGUCUUUUGUAGUACAAUAUAAAGGAAAUAUUUUCACCACAUAAUCCAAUUAUGUGCUUUGGCAAACAUUACUGCUUUAGCAAACAUUACUGCCUUGGAAAACAUUACUUUUUUAUAACUACUAAUUAUGAUGAUGCCAGCCCAACAACACUUGAUCAUGCUAUUUGCAAAUAUUUUCAUGUUCUAGAUUGUGAAAACAAUCAAUUUCUAAACAAAUGAGUAGUGAUUAUUUCAAAUUUCAAUAGCAUGACCCAAUUUUGAGGCUGGUUAUGCCACUAAUAACUAAAGUCAAUUCUGUAAUGAUUAUCUAAGAAUGUAUGUAGUAAUUGUAGAAAUAAAGACAUUUUGCUAAUCAUGAUUUGAGUGUUCUUUUGUGGGUAUCACAGACUUAUUUUGGUGCCAUACUAUCUUUGGAGAGUAAGAAAUAUUGAAAAUUUGUAUUGAUAACAUGUUGCAGCAAUAAAAAAG